rnacentral:rRNA from 1 species
UACGUAGGGUGCAAGCGUUACCCGGAUUUAUUGGGCGUAAAGAGUGCGCAGGCGGUUUUGAAAGUCAUUAUUGAAAUUUUGGGGCUCAACCCCAAAUCUGGUGGUGAUACUUCAAGACUAGAUGGUUUGAGGGGGUACUGGAACAGUUGGUGGAGUAGUGAAAUGCGUUGAGAUCAACUGGAACACCAAAGGCGAAGGCAAGUACCUGGCAAACCCAUGACGCUGUUGCACGAAAGCGUGGGGAGCAAAACGG